GACGUAGGUGGCGAACGUUAUCCGGAAUUAUUGGGCGUAAAGGGUGCGUAGGUGGCCUGACAAGUUAUCAGUGGCAAAUCGAGGCUCAACCUCGUGGAAACUGGUAAUACUGUUCGGCUUGAGUACAGGAGAGGUUAACGGAACUCUAUGUGGAGCGGUAAAAUGCACAGAUAUAUAGAAGAACAUCAAUAAAAGGCGAAGGCAGUUAACUAUUCUGUUACUGACAUUGAGGGCACGAAAAGCGUGGGGGAGCGAACAGGG
rnacentral:rRNA from 1 species